ensembl:lncRNA
GAGAAUUUCCUGUAACAACUUUUGAUGUGGACAUUCUUUUUCACAAAGGUAUACAGAGGAAGAGGCAUACAAAGGCCUCUACAUUAUGGGUAAGGUAUGUAUAUGAAAACCAUUAUCAAAACUUUUUGUUCCAUUAUCAUUUACCACAAAAACUAAGGUAUGAAUACUGUCAUGUGCAUGUUUUGUUAAUCAUCUGUAUAAUUACUAUUUUUUGGAUCCACAUACUUCACCCUCUUUACACCUCUGAUCAAUAUAACAGGAAACCUGUUUGAUCACCAUGCACUGCAAAAUCAUUCUGGCUAUGGAUACGGAGAGCUUCAACACAUUAACAUCAACACGCCAGAGGAUAUACCCAUUGGACUUUGCUGGGCUAUGCUGGGAGUCUACCUCAUAUUUGGAUUUUUUUUAUUCUGCUUUGUCACUAAAAUCUUUUCUUUUUUUUCUAAAAUAUUGUGUUAUUGUUAUGCGUAUUAUUAAUAAUAAUACUGGGGGGGUCCAUCAAAAUGUUAUUAGAGGAUCCAUCAAAAGGGUUCUUCAAAGAACUUAUGGGGGUUCCCCCACAGUUUCAAUUUGAAGAACCCCUAAAGGAAAUUCCAUAUGAAAUCACUGUAAGUAGGUAAUGCCAACAAAAGCUGUCAAAGUAAACAAAGCAAUAUGUAUUUACUGUGCAGACUUGAUUUUAUGCAGUUACACAGAAAUCAUAUGCAACACACAGCUCUCAAGCUCACCUUCAUAUAUCCACAAACACCCAGUAAUCUGAUCUCACAACCCCACCAUUCUCCUGCAGGCAACAACUGGCCUAAAGGAAUUUUAAAAAUGUCCUUGAAAUUAUAAAGGGGGAUUAGAGAGAGCCUGGUCCAU